rnacentral:rRNA from 1 species
CGUUACCCGGGUUGCGGACAGUGUCUGGUGGGUAGUUUGACUGGGGCGGUCUCCUCCUAAAGAGUAACGGAGGAGCACGAAGGUUGGCUAAUCCUGGUCGGACAUCAGGAGGUUAGUGCAAUGGCAUAAGCCAGCUUGACUGCGAGCGUGACGGCGCGAGCAGGUGCGAAAGCAGGUCAUAGUGAUCCGGUGGUUCUGAAUGGAAGGGCCAUCGCUCAACGGAUAAAAGGUACUCCGGGGAUAACAGGCUGAUACCGCCCAAGAGUUCAUAUCGACGGCGGUGUUUGGCACCUCGAUGUCGGCUCAUCACAUCCUGGGGCUGAAGUAGGUCCCAAGGGUAUGGCUGUUCGCCAUUUAAAGUGGUACGCGAGCUGGGUUUAGAACGUCGUGAGACAGUUCGGUCCCUAUCUGCCGUGGGCGCUGGAGAACUGAGGGGGGCUGCUCCUAGUACGAGAGGACCGGAGUGGACGCAUCACUGGUGUUCGGGUUGUCAUGCCAAUGGCACUGCCCGGUAGCUAAAUGCGGAAGAGAUAAGUGCUGAAAGCAUCUAAGCACGAAACUUGCCCCGAGAUGAGUUCUCCCUGAGACUUAGAGUCUCCUGAAGGAACGUUGAAGACGACGACGUUGAUAGGCCGGGUGUGUAAGCGCAGCGAUGCGUUGAGCUAACCGGUACUAAUGAACCGUGAGGCUUAACCUUACAACGCCGAAGCUGUU